rnacentral:rRNA from 1 species
CGCCAGACUCCUACGGGAGGCAGCAGUGGGGAAUAUUGCACAAUGGGGGAAACCCUGAUGCAGCGACGCCGCGUGAGCGAAGAAGUAUUUCGGUAUGUAAAGCUCCAUCAGCAGGGAAGAAAAUGACGGUACCUGACUAAGAAGCUCCGGCUAAAUACGUGCCAGCAGCCGCGGUAAUACGUAUGGAGCAAGCGUUAUCCGGAUUUACUGGGUGUAAAGGGAGCGUAGGCGGUAAGGCAAGUCUGAUGUGAAAGGCGGGGGCUCAACCCUGGGACUGCAUUGGAAACUGUGUAACUGGAGUGUCGGAGAGGCAAGUGGAAUUCCUAGUGUAGCGGUGAAAUGCGUAGAUAUUAGGAGGAACACCAGUGGCGAAGGCGGCUUGCUGGACGAUGACUGGCGCUGAGGCUCGAAAGCGUGGGGAGCAAACAGGAUUAGAUACCCGAGUACC